rnacentral:rRNA from 1 species
UACGGGGGGAGCAAGCGUUGUUCGGAUUUACUGGGCGUAAAGGGCGCGUAGGCGGCCACCGCAAGUCGAUUGUGAAAUCUCCGGGCUUAACCCGGAAAGGUCAACCGAUACUGCGGGGCUAGAGUGCAGAAGGGGCAACUGGAAUUCUCGGUGUAGCGGUGAAAUGCGUAGAUAUCGAGAGGAACACCUGCGGCGAAGGCGGGUCUCUGGGCAGUAACUGACGCUGAGGAGCGAAAGCGUGGGGAGCGAACAGG